UUGCAGUUAAAGCUCGUAGUUGGAUCUAGGGACGCGCAUUUCAAGCGCCCGUGUCGUCGGGUCAAACCGGCGACUGCGUUGGCGUUGCGGGCUCGGUCCGUCGGUGGACCCUCGUGGUCUUAAUCGGCGUGUCAACCGGCCCGCCCGUCCCCUCCUUCUGGAUUCCCGUUCCUGCUAUUGAGUUAGUGGGGACGUCACAGGGGGCUCAUCGUCGUCAUGCAAAUGGCGGCGGUGGGUCCCUGGGGCCCAGAUCGUUUACCGUGAAAAAAUUAGAGUGUUCAAAGCAGGCAGAUCCAAUUUUCUGCCACCGAAUACAUUAGCAUGGGAUAAUGGAAUAGGACCCUGUCCUCCUAUUUUCAGUUGGUUUUGGCAGCGCGAGGACUAGGGUAAUGAUUAAUAGGGAUAGUUGGGGGCAUUAAUAUUUAAUUGUCAGAGGUGAAAUUCUUGGAUUUAUGAAAGAUUAACUUCUGCGAAAGCAUCUGCCAAGGAUGUUUUCAUUAAUCAAGAACGAAAGUUAGGGGAUCGAAGACGAUCAGAUACCGUCGUAGUCUUAACCAUAAACGAUGCCGACCAGCGAUUAGGAGACGUUGAAUACAAAACACCACCAUCGGCGCGGUCGUCCUUGGCGUCUGUCCCUUUCAACGGGGGCAGGCGCGAGGGCGGUUUAGCCCGGUGGCACCGGUGAAUGACUCCCCUAGCAGCUUGUGAGAAAUCAUAAGUCUUUGGGUUCCGGGGGGAGUAUGGUCGCAAGGCUGAAACUUAAAGGAAUUGACGGAAGGGCACCAC
rnacentral:rRNA from 1 species